GCCAAAGUAGUGGGGACAUAAAAAGCAGACGCACCGGAUUCUUCUUCCACUUCCUCCUUCCCUCUGCUGCUGCAAAGAAGAGAUGGCGCACGCUUUGCUGCCAAAGGUUUGGGUUUUGAGGCUUCUUGCACAAGAAGAUGUGAUCAACACCUUCAGUGAGGAUCAACGCCUCAAGCCCAGCAGGAUUUGUUCCCCAAUAACAUCAUAAAUGCUGGAGAGGUGUUGGAAACCUAGUGGAGAUGAAAACCUGAUGUGAAAUAUCAGCUGUGAUAAAUGCUUCACUAAUAGUGAAUCUAAAGUGGCCGACAUCUGGCCCUGGAAAAUCAUAAACAUGUCCUGAACAGCUUCGCCGACCUGAUGGAGAGUUCCUGUUUUGAAGGUCAAAAUCAGGAAGUGAUGUCAUCAAGGUUCCCCUCCACAUAACUGGCGUUCAUCCAGGAAGGAGGAGCCACCCGAUGCGCAGCGUUGGAACGAAGCGCAGAUGGAGGUCGGUUCUAAUCAAUAAUGGUUAACACCGGAUGGGUGGAUGUGAAGAUUCCUUGUUUACCGCCCCAGUCUGAGAAUUCAUGACUGAUUGGUAUUACUCUGAUCCAACCCAAAAGCUCAAACAUCAGUUAAAGCUUUACUUUCCAAAUGCAAAUGUCACUUUCAGUUGGCAACAGUUCAGAGUUUCAGGAACAACCGAAGGGGACAGUCACUACAUGAUGCUGUAAAAUGGUGCCAUGUGCUUAGAGAAACAUAAUGCUGGUCCUUUAAGACCUUUCUUAUAUAAAUGUGUUUCCACCACAUCUUACUACUGUUGAUGUGAGGAGCGGCCAUAUUGAAACAGGGAGUCUGCCUUGCAAGUGGUAACUAGGGGUAGUCAGGAGUUGCUCCCAGUUUCCCAAUAGGAAAUUUGACUUAGGAGGGAUUUAAAAAAAAAUAAUUUUUUUUCUUCUCCUAAGUGGGCAGUCAAAAUGUCUCAUUUGAAAACAACAAUAGUUCAACACAGAAACCUUUGUCAGUUUAGUUUUUCAGUUAUUUUAUACAAUCUUUAGAAUGUUGGUCUCUUUAACUUGGAUGUGGUUUUUAAUUAGUGGCGUACUUGAAUACGACUCAUUACUUCACAGUUUUUAAAUGUUAAUUCUGAUUUACUUUCCUUUCUCUCCUCUCAGGUUGAAGUUGCCUGAACCAUAUUGGUUUUCUUCUCGAGGACGAUGAAACUUCUGACCAGACUGUAUUUUAGGUAUGUAAAACCAACUGAUGUGCCUGGGAUUGUAGAAGUGAUGAUAAACAUCCCCACUAAAGCCGUCCACCCCCUGCCUCAGCUAGUUUCCGCUCCUGUUGGCUCAGUUUUGGCACUGAGAACCCUGAGUUUCUCAGGUGUAAGGUGACCUGCUGAGUUCUGAUGGAGUUCUGGCUGAGGGCCUGACUGAAAAACAAAAGCUGAUCACAUCCCAGGCUCAAACUCUUUGAUUCUCUCAUGGGUUGCACAUCUGCAAUGGUAUAUAUCUAUUAAGUAAACGUUGACUCUAUGCCUUUCUUUUCGACAGCCUGACGUCUUGGCUUGAGGUUUGCUGGUGGACUCCAGCUGAAUCUGAAGAACUUGCUGUUGAGAUUUUAAAAAAAAAUUGUUUUCUGUGAAUUAAAACUGACAAAA